ACGUUACAGACACGCACGCACGCACGCACGCGCACGCACGCACGCGCGCUCCACAGAGCUGCAUAUCGCGCGGAGCCGCUGCUUCACUUCGGAACUGUGCUGUCUGGCGCGCGUGCGGCGCUUCCACAACACUGAGUUUGUGGACGAUUUCUUUUUUUUUUUUUUUUUGGCUGUUGUUUACCGAAAGUGUCGGGUUGAAAUACAAAAAAGAUAUAAAUAAAAGCUGACGUGCAAGAGCUUCGGGGACGCUUCUGAAAAGUUUAAAGUGUAGUUAAAAAAAACCAAAACAAAACAACGACAACAACAACAACUUCGCGUGGUUGUUUGACUGGAGCCGUGCCGGUGAGCUAGUUGGCUAACUAUCAAACAAACUUUAAGAGUUUUUCUCUCUUGUUUUUCUCUCAAGAGGACAAUUUCAGAGGAGGAAAUACACGAACUACGGAGUCGCUUCGUCUGGGGGGAAGACAGCAAGUUUUCUUUGGGUUCAUUCAGAAAGAAAUUUUUGUUUAGACCCGAGCUGAACACCAGUGUUUUUUUUUUUUCUUCUUCUUUUUUUAAAUUUCAUCUGGAUUUCACGUUGUCAGUUUAGCCUAGUUAUUGUAGAAAUAGUGCUGCUUGUGAGAGAGACUCCGCGUUCAGGUUGCAGAGAGGUUCAAAUUCGUUCAUUUGUACUGAAAAGGAUUUGAGGUCCUGCUCCAGAAAGUUCCCGGGAGAGGUGCUGAAACAUGCCGCAGCUGGCGGGUGGCGGAGGCGGCGGAGACCCGGAGCUCUGCGCCACCGACGAGAUGAUCCCGUUCAAGGACGAGGGAGACCCGCAGAAAGAGCAGAGCUUCGCCGAGAUCACCAACUCCGAGGAGGAGGGAGACCUGGCCGAGCUCAAGUCCUCUCUGGUCAACGAGAGUGAGACGAGUCCGAACAGCAACAGCCACGACGCAGCUAGACAGUCCCAAAUAACCCCAGACUCCUAUCAUGAAAAACACAGAGAGCAUCCGGAUGAUGGAAAGCUCCAAGAUCUGUACAGUAAAGGACAUGCCUACUCUGCUUACCCAAGUUACAUCAUGAUGACCAACAUGAACAACGAACCCUACAUGAACAACGGCUCGCUCUCGCCUCCCAUGCCCAGAACGUCAAAUAAGGUUCCUGUGGUGCAGCCGUCCCACGCAGUUCACCCCCUCACACCUCUGAUCACCUAUAGCGAUGAGCACUUUGCCCCCGGCCCUCACUCCGCGCACCACCCACAGGACUCCAAAGGAAUGCCUAGGCAUCAUCCUGGUCCAGAUAUUCCUAACUUUUACUCACUCUCCCCUGGAGGAGUUGGACAGAUCACCCCACCACUGGGCUGGUUCCCACAUCACAUGGUUCCAGGACCUCCUGGACCUCAUGCCACGGGAAUCCCCCACCCUGCCAUCGUCAACCCACAAGUCAAACACGAGCCUCCACACGAGACAGACCUGAUGCACAUGAAGCCUCAGCACGAGCAGAGAAAGGAGCAGGAGCCCAAGAGGCCUCACAUCAAGAAGCCACUCAACGCCUUCAUGCUUUACAUGAAAGAGAUGCGUGCCAACGUGGUGGCUGAGUGCACACUGAAGGAGAGCGCUGCCAUCAACCAGAUUCUAGGCAGAAGGUGGCAUGCUUUAUCUCGGGAAGAGCAAGCAAAGUAUUAUGAAUUAGCCCGCAAGGAACGGCAGCUCCACAUGCAGUUAUACCCAGGCUGGUCUGCUAGAGACAAUUACGGAAAGAAGAAGAAAAGGAAGAGGGAGAAGCUCCAGGAAUCAGCCACAGACUUCCAUUUUCUGCAGGUACAGCCCAGAGAAUGAAAACGGCGUACAUCUGAGCAAUGAGGCUGGUUUUAAAAGAACAGACCCAGAUGUGAUCUCUCCCUAUCCUCCCAUCCACCCACAUGGCCCACAUGUGUAAUCCGGAGGAAAACGAACUGCUUUCUCCUCAUGCAAAGCGAAGCCAGCAGCUGCGGGGGCCCUUUUGGAGAUGGAAGCCUGUUAGAUGACUUCUGACCCCUUCAGCGACCUCUUGACUCCCCCCGCUGACCUCUUGGAGGGCUCCAGCUCUCGAGUGCGCUCCUCUGCUGUAGAGACACUGAACUGAAACCACAGACAAUCGCUUCUCGCCUAGACCUGCUACUCUACAUACACACAGAGAUACACACUUAGCCCUUCACAGAUAUGAGUACACAGACACACACACACACACACAAAGUUCGUUUGGGGUUUACGUUCGUUUUAGCUUGUUGUGCCCAAAGUCCAAGUUAUUGCACUGAUAAUGUCUUCAUCCAAACGCACAAAUCACCACACACACGUGCAGAGAGGCAAGAAAUCAAUCACACACCUUUCCACACCUGUCCCUAAGUUAUUUAAGUUAUUUGGCACCCCUGUUUUCUGUAUGUACAGUUCAUCCCCAGCACCAUCUCACUUUUCACCCAAUGAUGUAGCAUUUCAGGGCCCGGUUUUCAGGAGCGUUCUCUUCAGAUGUCAGACGGAUCAUUUAUUCUCGACUUGCAAACAUUCUCUCAAGACUUUUUCAUAUUUCCACCAGUGGGUGCAAAAUAAAAAAAACAAAAAAGGAUCAAAGUUUUGACUUUUAUGGGUUCAAGUUCAAUUUUGAAUGCUUUUUUUUUUUUGUAUUUUAAAAUAUUCAUUUCAUCUCUCGGUGUAUAUUUUAAGUCAUUUUGUUUUUAUCUUUAUUUUUUAUAUAUAUACUGGUAUAUAUAUAUAUACGAGAAUAAGCUUUGCGACAGGAAAGCUGUUCUGUUUUUCUUGCAAAAACGACCUUUCAUUUGAGAACUGUAACUAAUGAUGACCUCCCAGUGCUCAGAUGUAAAAUAAUGCUCAGUAUGUGUACUUUUUAAUGAAAAAUGUCUGGAUAUGUCUCUUUUCUUGGUAUUUUUGCAGGCAAUGUUAGGACAUGCGUGUUCGAGUGGGUACUCAGAGGCCUAUAUUUUAUUGUUCUAAACAGACAAAUGAAGCAGAUAUAUAUUUACCCCAGCACUUGCCGGUCUCUUUUAUUGCGAUGUUCCUCUGUUUCCUCUCUAUCUGCUAGAUAAUAGUGUGGUCUUUUUGCCAUGUUUAUUACAUGCAAGCAUCUCUGUAACAUUUGAUUUUACAUUCUAUUUUUUAGUAUUAUUGGAUACAUUUUCUUUUUUUUUUUUUUCUUUUUUUUUUUUUUUUAAAUUCAUUGUCAUUUUGAAUCACUGUCAUCUUGGUUUAGCACUUUGCUUCCAAGUGGUCACAUUUGAACUGUGUUUCUACAUGCCUUUUUAUUUUUAAAAAAAAAAGACAAAAAAAUAAAUCAGCAUCUUUGACUGAC